CCCUCCCCCCCUCCACGCCCCCAGGCCGGGUCAGGCUCCCACCCCGCGUGUCUUCCGAACGGCACCGUGCUCGUCUCCGGACCAAGGCAAGGCAGCCCAGCCCAGAAAAUUGGCUAAGUGAAGUCACCAGAUGAUGGCAUCCUAUGGUGCGCCUUGGGCAAAAACAGCAGCUCGGCAACGCGUCCGGGGCCAAAAACAGCAGGUCGGCCACGUGGUCCGUGAGCAGGCCAAGUCCCUGGAAAGCCGGCUUUCCUACGCGUGACCGAUAUGCGCCCGGGGUAGUUCGCCCAGGCGGCAGGGCUGAAAACCAGCGGUUCGCCCAGGCGUCGCAGCGGCUCGGCACGGCUUCCGUGGACAGGCCAAGUCCCCCGGGCCGACGCCGCCCGGUGGGCGGAAACAGUGGUUCGUCCUGGCGCCAGGGCUCAAAACCAGCAGUUCGGCAAGGCGGUCCGUGGAAGACAGGCCAAGUCCCCGGGCCGACGGCGCCCGCGGGGCGGAAACAGCUGUUCGCCCUAGCGCCAGGGCCGAAAACCAGCAGUUCGCCCAGGCGCCGGAGCUGAGACGCAGCGGUUCGGCAGGGCGUCCCGCGGAGAGGCCAAGUCCCCGGGCCGACGGCGCCCGCGGGGCAGAAACAGCGGUUCGCCCUGGCGCCAGGGCCGAAAACCAGCAGUUCGCCCAGGCGCCGGAGCUGAGACGCAGCGGUUCGGCAGGGCGUCCCGCGGAGAGGCCAAGUCCCGGGCUACGCGGCAAAGUGUGCGUGGUUGGAUGGAUGGAUGGAUGGAUGGGUGGGCGGUUGGCUGGAUGGAUUGGCGGGUGGAUGGCGAGUAACGCACCACGCAUGACGGAUAUGCCUCACAAGGUCAUGGGAGAAGGAGCAGCCCAAGUCCCUGGGAAAGCCGGCCUUCAUACGUGCAUCGAGGUGCACACGGCGCAAAAACUGCAGUUCGGCAUGGUGUCUAGGUGAAGGGCACGGUGAAAACGAGCCAAAAAGGGCGAAAACGACCAAAAAAACGGGCCAAAACGGGCCAUGGACGGCCCGCGGGUCCCCGGCCCACCGAGGUGGCCCACGGGGCCCAAGGGACCCACCCAUGGUGGCCCCACCCAAAAAGUCCAAGGUUCGGUCCAUCCACGGAAAACGACUUUCGGGCGCCUCCGGGGCGGAAACCAGCGUUUCUGAGCAAAAACCAGCCAAAACUGCAUAUCACAUGGAUUUCCUGAGGUCCUCCAAAACGUGUGAAGGAACCAUACAGAAAACUGCAAGAACUCCUGGGGGGGCUGGAUGCCCCUCGGGUAUAUUAGGGGAAGAGGGUUCGGUUGGAGGAGACCUCGGGUGAAAUGGAAGAAAACCACAAGGUUUUUGAUUCCAUGUUUUCGUGAGGCUCCUCCAUAAAGUCGGUCACGUAUCCCCCGGCCUCCGUGGUGGGCCGACGACCGGCUGUGGCUAGCUUCGGCUGGCUGCAGCUGGUUGUUGGCUGGCCAUGGCUGGCUGGCAUGCGGCCUUCGGUGGCUGCAUGCUAGUGACCGCACUGGGAGAAGUUUUGGCGUCGCGUGACCUCCGUGGCUGGCUUGUAGCCUACGGCGGCCUGCUUCGGCGGGCUGCUAUGGGCCGCGGGCUGGCUCGGUGGGCAGCGUGUUGUUGGAACGACUCCCGGCCUCCCUGGCUGGCUGGCUGCCUACGGCGGCCUGCUUGGGUGGGCUGCUGCGGGCGACUGGCUGGCUGGGACGGCUAGCGUGUUGUUGGAACGGUUUCGGUGACUUGCGGCCUCCUUGGCCGGUCGGCAGCCUGCGGUGGCCUGCUUCGGCGGGCUGCUUUGGGUAGCUGGCUGGCCAGGGUGGCUAGCUUGUUGUUGGAACUGUUUUGAUGAUGCGCCGGCUUCCUGGCCGGGUGGAAGCUGCGGUGGCCUGCUUUGGCGGGAUGCUGUGGGUAGCUGGGUGGCUGGGGUGGCCAACGUGUUGUUGGGAUUGUUUCGGUGACUCGCAGCCUCCCUGGACGGUCGGCAGCCUGUGGUGGCCUGCUUCUGCGGGCUGCUGUGGGCAGCUGGCUCCCAUGGGAGGAAGCUUGUUGCUGGAACGGUUUUGGCUGCACGGUUUCUCGUGUUGUUGGGAUUGUUUCGGUGACUUGUGGCCUCCCUAGACGGUCGGCAGCCUGCGGUGGCCUGCUUCUGCGGGCUGCUGUGGGCAGCUGGCUCCCAUGGGAGGAAGCUUGUUGCUUGAACGGUUUUGGCUGCACGAAUUCUCGUGUUGUUGGGAUUGUUUCGGUGACUCGUUGCCUCCCUAGACGGCCGGCAGCCUGCGGUGGCCUGCUUCUGCGGGCUGCUGUGGGCAGCUGGCUCCCAUGGGAGGAAGCUUGUUGCUGGAACGGUUUCGGCUGCACGGUUUUGGCCCGCUGUUGGAUAAGUUUUGGUUUCUCGUGCUGUUGGGAUUGUUUCGGUGACUCGUGGCCUCCCUGGACGGCCGGCAGCCUGCGGUGGCCUGCUUCUGCGGGCUGUUGCGGGCAGCUGGCUCCCAUGGGAGGAAGCUUGUUGCUGGAACGGUUUCGGCUGCACGGUUUUGGCCCGCUGUUGGAUAAGUUUCGGUUUCUCUCGCGCUCUGUGGACCCUCGGUUGCCGUCCUCGCAAGCAGACUCACCGUGCCUAGCGCGGAGGGAUGCUUUGGAUGGCUUAAUCGUCGUGGCUACGCUGGCGCAUGAGUUGUUUUGGACCUGUGACUGCUUGGAGGACCCCCGUCGGUGUGCGGCCGACUCCUAGCGCCAGUGUCCCUUCAUUCGUGCGGGCACCUUUUGCCUACUGCAUUGACGAGUGCUUGCGUGCUGCUACCUGUCCCACGGGAAGUUGCGUUCGGUUACAUGUUGCCUUCGUUGAGCGCACCCUCUGGGUGUGGCUCGUCGGCUCUAGAGCACUUGCGGCGUUGCCUCGUGAUGUCGUCCUCCUAGGGUGGCACCGCCAAGGGCACCUCGCUUGUGCAUUUGGUUGCGGAUGCGGCUGAUGCCGAAGGCCGGAGGGCGUUGGCCUCCCGUGCCUAAAAAUCGAGUCCGUUUGGAAACAACGACAGCCAGCCCGGCCGAUGCCUCGUGCGGAGGUCGGUGCCGGCUCGUCGGCGAGGACGUGC
rnacentral:misc_RNA from 1 species